CUUAAUUCAAGGAAUGAAAAGUCCCCGAGCCCAGAUGGCAGGAAGUAUGGAGUUUAAUCACUCCCAGAUAGACCUAACAAGACCAGUCGGAAUAGGUACUGCAGCCAAACAGACCUGGGUCUAACUAGGGGGGAUAGGUACUGCAGCCUUACAGACCUGGGUCUAACUAGGGGGGAUAGGUACUGCAGCCUAACAGACCUGGGUCUAACUAGGGGGGAUAGGUACUGCAGCCUAACAGACCUGGGUCUAACACAGACCUGGGUACUGCGUUGGUUUAGUUUAGAUCCGUUGAGCAGAUCAUUAAUAUUAGUCAGAAAUAAUAGUCCAGGGAUCUAUCAAUAGUUUAGGGCUUCAAGAUAUCUAGAGGACUGUUCACCAUUUGGAUCAGGGCUUUUCAAUACCUAGACCCUAGAGGUCAUGAACUACUGACCCUAGAGGUCAUGAACUACUGAACCAGGCAGAAAGGGA
ensembl:lncRNA